rnacentral:rRNA from 1 species
UACAGAGGGUGCGAGCGUUAAUCGGAAUUACUGGGCGUAAAGCGCGUGUAGGCGGCUUGGCAAGUCCUGUGUGAAAGCCCUCGGCUUAACCGAGGAACUGCCUGUCAGACUGGAUGGCUUGAGACCGGGAGAGGUGAGUGGAAUUCCCAGUGUAGCGGUGAAAUGCGUAGAUAUUGGGAGGAACACCAGUGGCGAAGGCGGCUCACUGGACCGGAACUGACGCUGAGACGCGAAAGCGUGGGAGCAACAGG